CUCUGCAUUUCUGACCUUCCAAUCUCUCUCUCUCUCUCUCUCGCAACUUCACUGAAAAAACCCAAUAAUUGGCUCUCAACUUCUCAUAAACCAAAGAUGUUACAUACAUAGCACCCACAGAGCAUCAGCGCUCUUCCUCUUUUGUUACGCAUACAACAUAUUAGAGCCCCUGUCCAUAUUGUAAUCCCUAUUUUGGCUUUUUCUUUUUUUUCUCUUAAUUCAUAUUACACUAGCAGUCACGUACUUCCCAGUAAAAUAAAAUGUUUCAUGUUUUGGCUUUUACUUGUAAAGGGAUUGCAUUAUUCUCUCACAAGAUGCUAUCCUUAAAUAAAAUUUUUGUCGUUGAAGGUGCUUUUUAGCAUUUGCUGGAAAAGAAAAGAUUUUUGCUUCUGAUGCUCAGUUUGGUUUCUUGAUUGUUUAACUUCAGUCUUGUGCUUCCUUUUUAUAUCUUUCUUUUGUAGUUUGAGUUUGCAAGGAUUGAAUUUAGUUCUGUUCUAGUUGUAUCAUGGUUAAUUAUGCAUUUUUCAUGUGAAAUACUCUCUUUGGUUGGAUAAUUGAGUUUUGUGAUAGCAUUUCUUGAAUUGGGAUGGGAUUUUAUGCAUCUUUAGCUUGGUUGACAAGAAAAUCACAUAAUUUGCAAGGGAUAUGGUAAUUUUGGCUCCCUUGAUCUUUUAAGAAAACCUUAUACAUCUAUGUAAGUUCAAAAAUCUUGAUUUUUUGCACUUUCUUUGUAGCUUUGGUCACUAAUGAGGAAAGCCACGGGGGUAUAAACUCUUGGUGCAGGUGUACUAUGAAGUAACAUCUCUUUAACUGGUAUUAACAUGGGAUAAAGGGUGUUAGUGAUACUAACUUUGAGCGUAUACAAGAUAAUUCGUAAUAUGCACAAUUAUGAGUUCCAAUUCAAGCUCUUGUGAACAUCUGUUUACAACAUCAGGUCGUCAAAACACUUAGAUACCAGUCAUUAUAUCCUUUAGUGCUAAUAUCUCUUCCAAAAAGUCAGUCAUCGCUUCAUGCAUGGGGAGAUUCUGAAGUUAAGAGGGGCCACAAUAGAUAGUUGCUAGAUCCUGGUCCCUAAAAAUCGAACCUUCAGAACCAUAUGCUGUAGGGUCACUAAGGGUUUCCACCGGAUAUGAGCACCUGCUGUAGUGGCACCAUGGGCGUUUUCCAAUUCAUAUAGAGCACUGCCUGAGGGGAAGGAAGGAUGCGCAGGGGAUGAUAUCUCAUCUUGUUGGAGGAUAAAUAUUUUACCCAUGGAAGAGUACAACUGCUUCUGCGCCCCAAGGAAGAAAAAUAUUGUCAGUACAGGGGGAUGGAAUAAAAAAGUCAGGAUUGAAGACAUUGGGCCUGUUAGUCAUAUUUGUACUACAUUACUUCUACAUAAUUUAAUCCUUUGCUUUUUAAAUCUGGUAGUGAAAUUUUUAUUUACGUCUAAAUGUAGUACUUCCUUUAACUGGUUUCUUUAGGAAUAAGAAGUGUUAACAGUCUCCUUUCUUGAUUAUGAGAGGGAUACAUUUUUAUUUAGAAGAGGAUUUGAACAAAA